rnacentral:misc_RNA from 1 species
AACCAUUCUCACCUGCGGCUAGACCUGCGGAAGGAUCAUUACACAAUAAACAUAUGAAGGCUGCACCGCCAACAGGCGGCAAGGCUGGAGUAUUUUAUUACCCUUGUCUUUUGCGCACUUGUUGUUUCCUGGGCGGGUUCGCCCGCCUCCAGGACCACAUGAUAAACCUUUUUUAUGCAGUUGCAAUCAGCGUCAGUACAACAAAUGUAAAUCAUUUACAACUUUUAACAAUGGAUCUCA